AGUGAACGCUGGCGGUAGGCCUAACACAUGCAAGUCGAACGGCAGCACAGAGGAGCUUGCUCCUUGGGUGGCGAGUGGCGGACGGAUGAGGAAUACAUCGGAAUCUACUCUGUCGUGGGGGAUAACGUAGGGAAACUUACGCUAAUACCGCAUACGACCUACGGGUGAAAGCAGGGGAUCUUCGGACCUUGCGCGAUUGAAUGAGCCGAUGUCGGAUUAGCUAGUUGGCGGGGUAAGGGCCCACCAAGGCGACGAUCCGUAGCUGGUCUGAGAGGAUGAUCGGCCACACUGGAACUGAGACCCGGGCCAGACUCCUACGGGAGGCAGCAGUGGGGAAUAUUGGAAAAUGGGCGCAAGCCUGAUCCAGCCAUACCGCGUGGGUGAAGAAGGCCUUCGGGUUGUAAAGCCCUUUUGUUGGGAAAGAAAUCCAUCUGGUUAAUACCCGGGUGGGAUGACGGUACCCAAAGAAUAAGCACCGGCUAACUUCGUGCCAGCCGCCGGUAACAC
rnacentral:rRNA from 1 species